rnacentral:rRNA from 1 species
GAUGAACGCUAGCGGCAGGCUUAAUACAUGCAAGUCGAGGGGCAGCAUGAUUGUAGCAAUACAAUUGAUGGCGACCGGCAAACGGGUGCGGAACACGUACACAACCUCCCAAUAAGUGGGGAAUAGCCCAGAGAAAUUUGGAUUAAUACCCCGUAACAUAACGAUGUGGCAUCACAUUGUUUUUAUAGAUUUUUCGCUUAUUGAUGGGUGUGCGGCUGAUUAGAUAGUUGGCGGGUAACGGCCCACCAAGUCUACGAUCAGUAGCUGAUGUGAGAGCAUGAUCAGCCACACGGGCGCUGAGAGACGGGCCCGACUCCUACGGGAGGCAGCAGUAAGGAAUAUUGGACAAUGGACGCAAGUCUGAUCCAGCCAUGCCGCGUGAAGGAUUAAGGUCCUCUGGAUUGUAAACUUCUUUUAUAAGGGACGAAAAAAGGCUUUUCUAAGUCGUCUGACGGUACCUUAUGAAUAAGCACCGGCUAACUCCGUGCCAGCAGCCGCGGUAAUAC